GUUUCCGUAGUGUAGUGGUUAUCACGUGUUUGUCUAAUACGCAAUAGGUCCCCAGUUAGAAACUGGACGGAAACA